GUCAGGAUGGCCGAGCGGUCUAAGGCGCCAGACUCAAGGUUACCUUGCCCAUUGCACUGGGCUGCGGGCGUUCUGGUCCUCUCUGAGGGCGUGGGUUCGAAUCCCACUUCUGACA
rfam:Papilio xuthus contig7602, whole genome shotgun sequence.